rnacentral:rRNA from 1 species
UACGGAGGAUGCGAGCGUUAUCCGGAUUUAUUGGGUUUAAAGGGUGCGUAGGCGGGCUGUUAAGUCAGCGGUCAAAUGUCGGGGCUCAACCCCGGCCUGCCGUUGAAACUGGCGGUCUUGAGUGAGCGAGAAGUAUGCGGAAUGCGUGGUGUAGCGGUGAAAUGCAUAGAUAUCACGCAGAACUCCGAUUGCGAAGGCAGCAUACCGGCGCUCAACUGACGCUGAGGCACGAAAGCGUGGGGAUCGAACAGG